UGUAAACAUCCAUUCAGUAGACAAAGAAAUAAUAACUUUACAUGAAACAACAGACAAAAUUAAGUUUCUAAACAUACUCUCUCCGUACCAGCCAUUCAAUCUAGAAAUAUGUCGGAAUCGGACAGGAGCCGGAAUAGAUAAACUGACUGUACUUUAUUUGGAGUAUGGAACCGUGUAGAUGUUUUAAUAGACGUGAAGCUGUACCUAGCCACUAAUGUUUGUUGUGGAAGAAACGAUUUAUGAAGGAUAUGCAAAGGCUCGUUUAAUGAAUAUAGAAAAUGCCAUUUGUUUGGGAACAGUGUGGUAGAGAGGUUAAAACACAGUCGGGAAUCUCCAAACACAAAGCCACCCACGCACGGGAAGGAAACUAUUUCUGUUGGGGCAAACCUUUUCUUGGUGAUUAAAGUAUUUUUGGAAGCACCUUCAAGAGACGAACUGAUAUCUUGAUCAAUGAAAAGUUGUCAUAUAUAGUUAAUGUUUAAAAGUUUAAAAGACUGUUUGUUAUGUUACCAGAUUGUGCAAGUAUUGCAGUGAAAGAAAACAAUCAAAGUAAACAUUAAAUACAAAUUUGACAAUUCAACAAAUUGAAAAACAUGUAUAGUUUAUUACUUGGUGCGGUGGUAAAAAGAUCUUGCAGCCCCUUUCAUGACCGGGUCGAAUGAGUAUUUUCAUUAAAUAUCUUACACUAUUUUCAGUUAUUCAGAUUUCAUUUGAAAUUGAGGUCAUGAAGUAUUAAUACAAUUAAAUAUGUUUGUUGGUAUAAUUAACCCCCGAAUCCAAGACUUUUUUGCGAUGAUCAUUUGUUACGUGUUAAUUAGAUCAUUCAUAUGUUUGUAUAGCAAGAUUUGUUACUUUGCGAAUACUGAUGUACUUCUUUAUGUACUUGGUGCUUUAAUUUCUAUUGUAACAUGUGCAUGCUGGUUAUAAAGCAAUCUUAUUAUUAAUGAAGUGUUUAUUUUGAUAAACUUAAGAUAUUCAUAUGGGGAUGAUAUUGGAAACUAAAUGAACUUAAUAGACCACAAACAAUCAUCA